CCGAAUUUAGGAUAAUAAAAUUUAAUUAGUUUAUAGGAGUUAUUAAUUGAUCAAAUAUAGUUUUUAUAGUUUUUUUUUUUUUUUUGUAUUGAAAAAAAAAGGUAAAGUGUGGAUACAUUAUUAUAAAAAAUGAAAAUAAUAUAUCUAUAUUAUAACAAAGGGAUUAAGUCCAAAGACCAAUUGAUCCAACGGUUAAGAUCCAAUUGAUGAUUUAAUCAACUGCAG
rnacentral:lncRNA from 1 species